GGGCCUGUAGUUUAACGGCAAAACACCACAUUCGCAUUGUGGAAAUGUGGGUUCAAUUCCCACCGGGUCCACAA
rnacentral:tRNA from 1 species